UACAGAGGAUGCAAGCGUUAUCCGGAAUUAUUGGGCGUAAAGCGCGCGCAGGUGGUUUCUUAAGUCUGAUGUGAAAGCCCACGGCUCAACCGUGGAGGGUCAUUGGAAACUGGGAGACUUGAGUGCAGAAGAGGAAAGUGGAAUUCCAUGUGUAGCGGUGAAAUGCGUAGAGAUAUGGAGGAACACCAGUGGCGAAGGCGACUUUCUGGUCUGUAACUGACACUGAGGCGCGAAAGCGUGGGGAGCAAACAGG
rnacentral:rRNA from 1 species